UGGUAGUACAAGUCAUGAGCCACUAUGAUUUGGAUUUGCAAAAUUGACGUGAGAAAUAAAUAUAAUAUCUGUUUGAAAGUUACAUAAGCAGAAAUGAAAUCCUAAGCUAUACUAAACAAAAAGUUAGCAUGAAUCUGGUACGCUGGUACGUCUCCAGUGUAGAGCCUCGUCUUCACAGCUACUCAGCUCCAGAAUCUGCACACAAGGUAUAGAAGUAUAGUAUGAGUACUGUUACACUCCAAACCUGAAGAGGCGUGGCCGGCACCCGGUGCCAUACUUGGCCCGAGCGUACCACUCUGUAACUGUGAACUCUGCAGGGGUAACCCUCAACUUAUGUCGAAGGCCAUAUUCUGAAUCAUCUGAAAAUAACGUCUACAACUAGCAAUACCACACUAAACAUCUACAUAGGGCUGGUAAAGCCACAACACUGAUAUAAAAAAUGUACAGGACUCAUCUACAAGCCUGUAGGGAUAACUAAAUUGUAUCAUGGUUGGGACAGGGCCUCGACCUACCCAUCAAACUUAUAUAUAUAAAAUGGACUCCAAGGUAUAGACCUGAUAACUCAGAGGAAGUGGAGCUUACCAACCAAGCUGCUGUUUAUCUUUGUCUACUGGAAAGGUUUAUCCAGCUGUCUAUCAGGACCUGCAUACAUGAAAUGCAGCUUCCCCAACAAAAGGGACAUCAGUACGAUAUAAUGUACUGAGUAUGUAAGGCAACAAAAUAACUGAAAGCUGAAACUGAACUAAUAAUAAAAUAACUGAACGUACUUGGGAGUCAAAUAUAAUUUGAAAAUAUGUUUACCUGCUGAUACUGACUCAUCUUUCUCAAUAUAUUAAGUAAAAUAGCUGUCUGGCCAUAUAAGACUCGGUAUGUUUAAUAGCUCUGCCGUAGUAGGCUCGCUCAUAGGCGUUCGGCCAUACUAGGCUCUGUAUCUCGGCCAUUCUGGGCUUGCUCAUAGGCUCUCGUCCACAGUAGGCUCGGUAUAUAACUUACCAUCUGAUAAAAGGUUGCCCAAUAGGGGCCUGCCCAUCGAUUAUAGGUCGAUGGUGGUAAAAUACUGUAAUACUGUAUAUAUAUAGACUAUCCGCUCUCUUGGCUAAAAGAAGACAAAACUAAACUGAAUAUGAAAUCCCGAUAAGGGAGAAUACUAUAGCUUAUGAGAAUAGGAUAAUGUACAUAAAUUCAAUAAUAAGAACUUCUCUUUAUGCCUCGUUAUCAAACGUAUGUAGUUACGGGAUCAUGCUAAAAUGAAGGAAAGGUUUAGCCUUAACAUACCUUAGCUCUGCUGAGUCCUUAAUAAUUUCCAAGAAAUUCUUCAAACAACUCAACUCAAUCUACCACAACAUAAGGAGAUUCAAAAUCAGUGAUGAGUAAAGGCUAAGUCCGCAACUUAAACUAUUAGCUCGUUUACGUAAAUUUGGAAGCAUCUCCUCUAUAACAAGGCCCUCCUCAAAUACCAUGUACCAACAACAACAAGAACACAAUAAUAAUAACAUGUACGCAUUAUUUCCAACCUUAUCUCCAUCACAAUAUACCACAAAACAACCCACAUACCCUAAUCACUUUAUACAUAAAAUAACAAUCAAAGUAGUGCCAAACAACCAAAAAUAUUGUAACGACGAAUGAUCAGUCCACCAUUCCGUCAUUAUGUGGUGUUUCUCCAUACUCUUUCUCCUCCAAAACUCCAUAAACAUUAGCACAAGAGGCCAAAAUGAGUGGACUACAAAACAGUCCACUAAAACUGAAAUAAAUCGAACUCACAGCUUUCGAUUAUCGUCCCGUGAGUUCUAACUAUUAGGAAACAAAUUUAUCAACCUUCCUUGAUAUUUAAAAGCUUAAAUAAAGAAAUUAGGAUUUUCUUAACUAUGACGUACAUUCCGAAACUCAAACUACAAAUAAAAAGAGAGGCGAUAUAGCGAUACUUACGUCGUAGAGAUCGUUCUAAUGUUAUCACUUCUUGAUUUCGUACCUGAGAUGUUAAUAUUCUUUGGAACCCUUGUAAAGAGCUUAAGGGUAAGUUUUUGGGGGUUCCCUGGUCGUUUUCUAUGAAAACUGAAGAGAAAACGAUUUAGAACACUAAAUAUAUCAACUUUUGAAAAGUCAAAGAGGUGCUAGCUUGGAACCCUAACAUUGGCCAUUCUUCCGACGCUUAUAUCUUUUUAUCCGGAUAUCAUAUGAACGAAUAGUUAAGAGAUCUAGAAACAAAAUUCCAAGACUUUCAAUUUGGUAUAUAAUAUGUACCAAAAGACCUCAUAUAACACAUGAAAUGUAUUGCUCAAAAAGCUUUAGUGACACACCUACUUGUCACCUAUGCAGUUUGCGCAGUCUCGCAAAACUGCAAAUAUCUUUCUACUUCUAUGUUGUAUCGACUAACGGUUUAAUGCGUUAGAAACUACACUCGUAGAUAUACAAUUUUUUAGGUAGAUCAUCCCCUAAUUCCAAGUAUAUUGGUAGAAAAGCUCAGCUAUAUUUUACCUAAGUUUCAACACAUUUAUGAAUGUAACUUGUGAUGACCUUUUCCAAUUUUUGUUCCACAACUCGCUUGACUUCAAUACAUAACGCACGUCUAUCAUACGACUAAAAUAACUCAUAACAUAAUCUCCUUAUAAUUUUAAGGACCAUAUUCACACCCCAAAAGUAUAUGUUAUAAUAUUCCCCACAUGUCGACUUUUGACGAAACUUAUUUUUUUCAAUUCGUUUAACUUCUAACCCUUCCAACCCUCUUGGUACUUGGUAUUCCUGAUCUUAAAUAUUUGUAACCUCCAUGGUAACAUGAUUAACUUACUUUAUGUACUUAAAAGAUGAUCUCAUUUUUGAGCUUACAUCAAUUGACUUAAGACGUACUCUUAAGUACAAAAACAUGGGGUGUAACAAGUACAACCGAUCUCAUAUACUUAGUAAGUAUCUUGACUAACCUCAGAGAAGUAGUGACGAUGUUUUUAAGUUGAAAGAUGCUCACUUUGCAGAACCUGUGCAUCUCAAUCAUAUGUAUAACACAAAUAAAAUAUUCUAGACAGAUAGUUACGAAAUAAAGAGUAUCAAUAGUAAAGGUACCCAACAAGAUCCGCUUCUGUCACGACCCAAAUCAGAGGGCCACGACUGGCACCCGAUGCCUACUCAACCUAGUGCCAUGUAACUUAUCCCCUUUUCUCCUUUUUUUUUAAUUAUAAAACUCGUCACGGGCCAUGAUAGGCCACAUUUAUAUAUGUAAUUAAUAAUAUUAGAACUUAACUCACAUAACUAAUUCAAAAAGAUUUAUAUAGAUACAUAGGGGUCGUCAAGGCCGUUGACAUGUCAUACCUAAAGCUAUACACAGGACACUGUCUGCAAAACCUCUAAGAAAACAUGAUCAUAAUAUAUAACACAGGACACUGUCUGCAAAACCUCUAAGAAAACAUGAUCAUAAUAUAUAAGUCGGGACAGGGUCCCCGACAUCUUCAUAAAACAAAGUAAAAUAUAAAGAACAUGACUCGGUAAUACUCCAGGAAGAUGUGGAGCUCACCAACCAAAAGCUGAUAUAUGGAGGCAGCCUACAGUGGAUGGUCCUCACCUCGCCUAUCUACACCUGCAUGGCAUGAAACACAGCGUCCCAGGAAAAGGGACGUUAGUACGAAGAAUGUAUCGAGUAUGUAAGACAGAAAUGAAACGUAGUAAUAAUAAGAUACUAUCUCGGGGAGAGAUAAGAGUCAACUUAUAACUUUUGACUUGCCGUUGAGGGCCGUACCAUGUAGAAUAAAACCCAUUCGUAUAUAUAAAUAAAACUACGAUAUAGUAGUUCUGAUUAUAUCAUUCUCGUGGCGUUAACUACCCAAUUGAUGAGUAGUAACUGCCCGACCGGCCGUAGCUCGGUGGUAAAAGCACUACCCAAACGGUGGUAAAUAACUGCCUGACCGAUCGUAGCCCGAUAGUAAAUGCAUGUCUGCCCAACCGGCCGUAGCACGAUAAUAAAUAAAUAUGCAUGACUGCCCAACCGGCCGUAGCAAGAUAGUAAAUAUGUAACUGCCACUUCAGAAAGGAAAGGCACUGUUCAGUAUUUUCAUGACUUUUUUGUCCAUAGAGAUGUCGUUGAGGUGUCAUUUGAGAUAAAAUAAGCCAAGUAAAAUCAUUUGCUUAACCACGAGACCAAACAGGAAAAUAUACAAGAGUUUGGGAAAAAAAAAUUCUUAAAUGAUGACUCAAAUUAAUAAAAUUACUUAUUAGUGAAGUCAUUUUUGCAUAGCACUGGUGCUACUAUCGUCCACACAAUCACUGUAUCCUAACUCCUAACUCAUAAUACAGGAAGUAGUACCAUUAUUUCCAAAGUGAGCAAUUAAUAACGAGUUAAUUACCUUUAACUUCUUACGGAUAUAAAUGACUAAAUACAAGGUUUUAACUUUAGAUAAAAGAGGGAAAGGAUUAAAAAAAAACAAAAGCGACAAUGACUAAAUGCGUAAUUAGUCAUUACAUUUGCAUAUCGUUGCUUGGAUCAUGCCUAAAAAAGGAAGGAUUAGCCUUAACAUACCUGAAUCGAUUCUCUUGAAAGAGAUUAUACCGUACUCCCUUAAUGUUGCAAAAUCUCACAUUAAUUAAGUUGUUCUGAAAUCCCGGGUCUUGAGGCGUUGAAGACGCUAUAGAAUGUUAAACAUUUGAAUUCCUCCAAAUUCUUGAAUUCUCACGUUAUCAAAUGAAUGGAAUGGAUAUAUGACCCUUUUUAUGUCCUUAAGACAUAUCUAAUUUUCUUUU
rnacentral:lncRNA from 1 species